GCCUUGAUGGUGAAAUGGUAGACACGCGAGACUCAAAAUAUCGUGCUAAAGAGCAUGGAGGUUCGAGUCCUUUUCAAGGCA
rnacentral:tRNA from 4 species